rnacentral:tRNA from 1 species
GGUGAGAUGGCCGAGUGGCUUAAGGCGCUCCCCUGCUAAAGGAGUAUGUAUUAAAAUGCAUCGAGGGUUCAAAUCCCUCUCUCACCACAA